rnacentral:lncRNA from 1 species
AGACCUCACACAUGUGGAAUACCACCUUCAAAAAUACGUAAAGCCAUGCGCCUGUGGUCUCAGUUACUCGGGAGGAUUCGGCAGGAGGGUCACUUGAGACCAGGAGUUUCAGCUUACAGUGAGCUGUGACUGUGCCACUGCACUCUAGCCUGGGCAACGUAAUGAGACAUCAUCUGUGAAAGGAAAAAAAGGCAUGUAAUAGUAAAGAGAGUAUCCACCUCCCCUCCCUCUAUUUAAUUGAUUGUUCUAGUAUACUCUUGAAGGAAGUAUAUUCAAAGUGUGAUAUUAAGAAAGAGUUGCAAGCUUCAUCUUACUCCUCUGGCCUUCAAUCUAAUUCCGUUGCUAUUUCAAAACCCUUCAAGGCUUUGUGGUAGGUAAACAGAGAUAGAUGUAUUUUUGUUGUUCAUUCUUUUCUCUGUCAAGAUCACUACAUACUGCACAAAGAAAGCCACUUAAAACACAGAUGAAGAAACAGACUGAAUAAAAAAUAUAUGACCCAAGAUUAAAAUACUCUCCUCAUUGAAAAAAGUAAAAACAGAAAAACAAUUGUAAUACUUAAGUGAUACUUUGUUGAAGAUAAGAUGCCUGAGAUUGUG